rnacentral:rRNA from 1 species
GACCAAGGAGUCUAACAUGUGCGCGAGUCGUAGGGUUACGCUCAAAGCCCGAAGGCGCAAUGAAAGUGAAGGUCGGCCUCGAUUGCCGUUACCUAGGCGGGAUCCGUUCGGGCUUACCGGUCGUUCGCGGCUGAGCCCGGCGGCGCACCGCCGGCCCGUCUCGACCGCAUCGCCGGUGAGGCGGAGCGAGAGCGUACACGUUGGGACCCGAAAGAUGGUGAACUAUGCCCGGGCAGGACGAAGCCAGAGGAAACUCUGGUGGAGGUCCGUAGCGAUUCUGACGUGCAAAUCGAUCGUCGGACCUGGGUAUAGGGGCGAAAGACUAAUCGAACCAUCUAGUAGCUGGUUCCUUCGAAGUUUCCCUCCGGAUAGUUGGGGCUCGGGGAGCGCCGUCUCAUCCGGUAAAGCGAAUGAUUAGAGGCCUUGGGUCCAAAAUGACCUCAACCUUUUGUCAAACUUUCAAUGGAUGAGAAGUCCGGCUUGCUUGACUGAAGCCCGGA